rnacentral:rRNA from 1 species
GAUGAACGCUGGCGGCGUGCCUAAUACAUGCAAGUCGAGCGAACAGACGAGGAGCUUGCUCCUCUGACGUUAGCGGCGGACGGGUGAGUAACACGUGGAUAACCUACCUAUAAGACUGGGAUAACUUCGGGAAACCGGAGCUAAUACCGGAUAAUAUAUUGAACCGCAUGGUUCAAUAGUGAAAGACGGUUUUGCUGUCACUUAUAGAUGGAUCCGCGCCGCAUUAGCUAGUUGGUAAGGUAACGGCUUACCAAGGCAACGAUGCGUAGCCGACCUGAGAGGGGGGACGGGCAAACGGGACAUGAAAACGGCGCCAAGCCCUGAGGGGGGGAAGAAGGGGGGAAUUUGCCGAAAGGGGGAAAAGCUGGACGGGGAAACGCCGGGGGGGUGAAGAAGGUUUUGGGAUUGAAAAACCUUGUUAUUGGGGAAAAAAAAAUGUUAAAGUAAUUAGCCCGUUCUGGCGGGACCCAAAAAAGAAACCCCCGCUAACUUCGGG